UAAACAAGAAUCUACCUCAUACCCCCAGUAAAAUGGGUGGAACAAUUGUACCAUCUUCCCUGUGAUAGACUGAAAUUGCUCUGAACACAUGAACUAACAUAAAUUUCUCUCUUUUAAAUUGUUUUGGGUAGUUGUUUUGCCACAGUGACACAGAAAGCAACUAAUUUGAUGCAGAAUUAUUAUGCAUGUGUGCAUGCAACACCAGCAUGUGACUCCACUGUGGCCAAGCUGGUCUGCUGUUUCUACUCUGUUUCGCUCCACUUACUUCUCUGCCAAAUAUAAACUAUGACCUACUUAAGAGAUCUUGUCAUUGCCUUGCUGAAGACCUCUAGUGGCUUUCUUUCUUUUUGGAAUGAUGCUAAAUUCUUUAUCAGAAUCUGCAAGGAGACCUGGUGCAGAGUGAUGCAGUCAACUGGCUUCAUUCUUCUGCCACUGUGCUUUUCCCAUCAUGAUGGACUGUGUCUCCUGGAAGUCUAAGCCAACAUAAGCCCUUUCCUCUUUAAGUUGCUUUUGUCAGGGAUUUUUAUUGCAGGAACAGGAAAUGAAACUCAAGCAUUGCAUUGUCCCUGGAUGAAAAGCACAAGUUUCACUAAGGAGGAGGGCAGAGACGACUGGUGUCCUAGCUGUCCACCAAACAGUGACUGCAGAGAACACAUAUGAUCUCUGUUUUUGUACUGGAAGAUCAAACAAAAAGAAUGCAGCAGAGAAGCUCCUGCCCGGAAUGCAAAGAAAGCAUUUGCUGUCUUCUUACCCUCUGAAGAACUGGUACAGGGAAAGAUCUGCCAUCAGCCCUGGAGUUUACUUCUUUCUGUCAUUACAAAUUACAUAGCGAGUCAUCAACCAUAUAUUAAGCAUGAGGUAACUAGGCUCAGAAAGGAUAAGACAUUGGCUCUGUUCCUUGGCUUAAAAGCAUCAAGUCGGGUUGUGCACUCAACUUCAUGAAUCCAUAAACACAUGGUAUAACCAUCUUUCCACAAGCAACAGUCAUGGCUGAGGUCUGGUCAUCCUCUCUAGCUGCAGAAGGGGGAUGGGUAAUGGAGCUCAACGGAGCAGCAGAGGGCGCGUGGUGACUUGUUUCUUCAACAGGAAGCAGAACUCUGAGAAGACAGAGAAAUUAAAGCGUCCCCCGCACAGAGCAGAAGGCAGUGCAUGCCUGAGCCAGGAGCCACCUCUAGUCAGAGAUAAGUCAGAGAACGGACCACAGUCACGGAGAUGUUUCUGGGGAGAAAAGACAUGGCAGAAGUUGUUGCUUAGGGCACAGGAUGCCAUCCACACCUAAGGAGCUCCUACUGGCUGCACUGAUGUGGGAUUGUGUCCUAGUGAUUCUGACUUCAGCCUCCUAUUUCAGCUUCAUGAGCAGUGAAGGAGGAAUGGCAAAGGCAAACAAAUGCCCAGGAUUUCACAGUUGGUAUCUUUCCGGGGGUUUUUGACAGUCUGCUCAGCUGAAUCCAGGAGACGAAGGAGCAUCAAGUAUGGCCAGUUUCCUGUCCAGGGCCUCUGGAGAUUCUGAAGCCUGGACUUCCUGAUAAAAUGCACUGCAUUUCAAUGCCUUUGUGCCUUCUCCACUUUCCUCAUAAACAUUAUUUUGUCAUAUUCUGUCAGCUGUGAGUCCAUGUUCUUGUCUUCAAGAAGUUUUUGGUCCAAUGGUGCAGGGAGAAAUAGACUGUGACACGCACUUCCACACCGAGUUAAACAGUUCAAAGCAAGGGAAAACAGUUCAAAGCACUAUGUCUCUGACAGACAACGCUGGCUUGGAGAAAGAGCCCUCUGGCAACCCUAAUGUAGGAUGAUGCUCAUCACAGAGGAAGCCUCUUAGCAUUUUUUUAUAGACCAUGUAGAAUUUGAGGAAAUGCAGGCAUAUAAGGAGAGAUGAGGCAGAGGGGGAAGGUGAAAAUGAAAGCAGCCCAAAGGAAGACAGAGGAGAGAGAAAAAAUAAGAAAGCUUAAAAGGAACUCAGAUGCCUCGAUAGAAUCAGCCUAGAAUUCAAAGGUCCUAGAUUGCAGAUUGCAGAUACAAUGUGUAUGACACUGAUAGGCAAGUUUUCAUAAUUCAUUUGCAAUAUUUUACCUAUGAAUUGAAAUCAGUUGUAUAAUAAUUCAAGUGUCUACUUUAAAAGUAUAUAAUGCUGUAAUACAAUUCAUCACCCCAUGUAGAUCCAUGCUAAAAAUUUUCCAAAGAGAUCACAUCUUUCUUUGAAAAGAAACAAACAAGCCUGUAUCUCAUAUUAAAAUAUUUAGACAUUACUAAGAGGUACAUGCUGCCCAAAGUGUCAUUUUGGAAAUGGGACAGCUUCUCUGUGUUUUGUUACAAUGAUGUCCAAACUUUACUGAACAGUUAACAUGUGUCCAGCAAGUUGCUAUGCAUACUGUAUACCCCAUCAAUGCAUGAACUCAAUGUGUUAAGUUUGACUGUUAUUAUUGUAUGUUAUUAUUCCCAUUUUACAGAAGAGAAAGCUGAGGCUGGAAGAUGCAGCUGCCUUUCUAAAAAACCCAGGGUAUUUGAACAUAGGCAUUAUGUCUGCACAGCCCAGGUGCUACUGCUGUCACCUCUUUUACUAGUGGAAUGAGGAUCUUCAUCAUUGGUAUACAGUAUUUCUUAGUUACAAAUGCUUUGACAACUGGGUGGAUGAAUUCUGGUUUUUAAGCUUUCCUCCAGAAAGAGAAAUAUGCAAACCUGUGUGUCAGUGUGCACCAGUGUGUACUGUGUGCCAGUGUAUAUAUGCUGUGUGCCAAUGUGUAUUGGU
rnacentral:sRNA from 1 species